CUCUUCGGAACCACAAAAAGGUGCGAGUAAAAACCCUGCCCUUGUUGAUCCGGUGCCACUGGUUGAAUGGCCCGGAUCUCCAGCAGAUGGUGGAUAGCUGUCUGCAUAAGAGUUCUUUUAACAGGGACCCUAGAGAGUGGGCAUGUCAUGAAGAAUUUCAGGGGUGUGGAUUGGAAUUCCAGAGCCAAACUGAAUCUAAUGGUAUCUCUGACCCAAGAGUCAGAGGUAGAGGAAACCCAUUGGAUUAGGCUUGGCUUUGGAA